UACGAAGGGUGCAAGCGUUAAUCGGAAUUACUGGGCGUAAAGCGUGCGUAGGCGGUGACUUAAGUCUGUUGUGAAAUCCCCGGGCUCAACCUGGGAAUGGCAAUGGAUACUGGGUCGCUAGAGUGUGAUAGAGGAUGGUGGAAUUCCCGGUGUAGCGGUGAAAUGCGUAGAGAUCGGGAGGAACAUCGGUGGCGAAGGCGGCAUCCUGGACCGACAUUGACGCUGAACGGCGAAAGCUAGGGGAGCAAACGGG
rnacentral:rRNA from 1 species